rnacentral:rRNA from 1 species
UACGUAGGGUGCGAGCGUUGUCCGGAAUUAUUGGGCGUAAAGGGCUCGUAGGCGGUUUGUCGCGUCGGGAGUGAAAACUCAGGGCUUAACCCUGAGCCUGCUCCCGAUACGGGCAGACUAGAGGUAUGCAGGGGAGAACGGAAUUCCUGGUGUAGCGGUGAAAUGCGCAGAUAUCAGGAGGAACACCGGUGGCGAAGGCGGUUCUCUGGGCCUUACCUGACGCUGAGGAGCGAAAGCGUGGGUAGCGAACAGG